AACGAACGCUGGCGGCAUGCCUAACACAUGCAAGUCGAACGAGACCUUCGGGUCUAGUGGCGCACGGGUGCGUAACGCGUGGGAACCUGCCCUUAGGUGCGGAAUAACUCCCCGAAAGGGGUGCUAAUACCGGAUAAUGUCUUCGGACCAAAGAUUUAUCGCCUUUGGAUGGGCCCGCGUUGGAUUAGCUAGUUGGUAGGGUAAAAGCCUACCAAGGCGACGAUCCAUAGCUGGUCUGAGAGGAUGAUCAGCCACACUGGGACUGAGACACGGCCCAGACUCGUACGGGAGGCAGGAGUGGGGAAUAUUGGACAAUGGGCGAAAGCCUGAUCCAGCAAUGCCGCGUGAGUGAUGAAGGCCUUAGGGUUGUAAAGAUCUUUUACCCGGGAUGAUAAUGACAGUAACGGGAGAAUAAGCGCCGGCUAACUCCGUG
rnacentral:rRNA from 1 species